UAACAUUCUGAAAAGAAUGCUAAUACCGCAUGACAUAUCGGAACCACAUGGUUUUGAUAUCAAAGAUUUUAUCGCUUGAAGAUGGACUCGCGUCCGAUUAGUUAGUUGGUGAGGUAACGGCUCACCAAGACCGCGAUCGGUAGCCGGACUGAGAGGUUGAACGGCCACAUUGGGACUGAGACACGGCCCAGACUCCUACGGGAGGCAGCAGUGGGGGAUAUUGCGCAAUGGGGGCAACCCUGACGCAGCAACGCCGCGUGAAGGAUGAAGGUUUUCGGAUUGUAAACUUCUUUUAUUAAGGACGAAAAAUGACGGUACUUAAUGAAUAAGCUCCGGCUAACUACGUGCCAGCAGCCGCGGUAAUACGUAGGGAGCAAGCGUUGUCCGGAUUUACUGGGUGUAAAGGGUGCGUAGGCGGCUUUGCAAGUCAGAUGUGAAAUCUAUGGGCUCAACCCAUAAACUGCAUUUGAAACUGUAGAGCUUGAGUGAAGUAGAGGCAGGCGGAAUUCCCCGUGUAGCGGUGAAAUGCGUAGAGAUGGGGAGGAACACCAGUGGCGAAGGCGGCCUGCUGGGCUUUAACUGACGCUGAGGCACGAAAGCGUGGGUAGCAAACAGGAUUAGAUACCCUGGUAGUCCACGCUGU
rnacentral:rRNA from 1 species